UCUGGUGGUAAAGAAUCUGCCUGCAGUGCAGGAAACCCAGGUUCAAUUCCUGG
rnacentral:tRNA from 1 species